GGGUGGGGUGAUGAUGAUCCUUCUGUUUUCAUCAUCAAAACUAGUGGAAGACUUGAAGGAGAAUUUCAAAUAACCAAUGGCUAUGGUCCAAUCAUGGCACCACAAGUCAUGAGAGAACAUUGGAGAACAUAUAUAGUAGAAGAAGACUUCAAGUUCAUAGCAAGUAAUGGACUAAAUGCAGUGAGAAUUCCAAUUGGAUGGUGGAUUGCAAGUGACCCAACACCUCCAAAACCCUAUGUUGGAGGCUCAUUACAUGCCUUAGAUAAUGCCUUUUUAUGGGCCAGGAAAUAUGGACUUAAAGUUAU
rnacentral:misc_RNA from 1 species